AUGGCUCACUUUGGCAGCAUAUAUACUAAAAUCGGAAUGAUACAGAGAGGAUUUCAUGGCUCCUGUGCAAGGAUGACAUGAAAAUUCAUGAAGCAUUUUAUAUUUUU
ensembl:snRNA U6 U6 spliceosomal RNA